UACAGAGGGUGCAAACGUUGCUCGGAAUUAUUGGGCGUAAAGCGCGUGUAGGCGGCUUGUUAAGUUGGUCGUGAAAGCCCAUGGCUCAACCAUGGAAGUGCAACCAAAACUGGCAAGCUUGAGUCCCGAAGAGGAUGGCGGAAUUCCCAGUGUAGAGGUGAAAUUCGUAGAUAUUGGGAGGAACAUCGGUGGCGAAGGCGGCCAUCUGGGAGGGUACUGACGCUGAGACGCGAAAGCGUGGGUAGCAAACAGG
rnacentral:rRNA from 1 species